rnacentral:rRNA from 1 species
UACGUAGGGUGCAAGCGUUGUCCGGAAUUAUUGGGCGUAAAGAGCUUGUAGGCGGUUUGUCGCGUCUGCUGUGAAAUUUCGGGGCUCAACCCCGAACUUGCAGUGGGUACGGGCAGACUAGAGUGUGGUAGGGGAGACUGGAAUUCCUGGUGUAGCGGUGAAAUGCGCAGAUAUCAGGAGGAACACCGAUGGCGAAGGCGGCGUCCUGGACCAACACUGACACUGAGGAGCGAAAGCCAGGGGAGCAAACGGG